UUCGUUCCUGACUGAUGACUUGUAGCAUCCAAAUCAAACCUCAACCUUCGCUAAGUUUUGUUUAAUUUAGAUAUACGCUUGUAUAUGGCGUGGUAUAUUCCUGGGCUGUAUCGAGAUAUUAGUUAGAGAUUGGAUUAGUGUUCAAUUUCGUGUAUUGCAUAUUAUUGUCAUAUUUCCGUCUCAUGUUUUUGCUACAUUCUGUCCAGUAAUUAUGACUCCUGAAAUCAACCAAGCAUCGUAAAGAAUGAACAGUACUUGUGUCUCUUGUGGUUAUGGACUUAUGAUUGUGUUCUAUGGCGUGUUCUCGUGUUUGGAAGACGAUAGGUGGGAGAUGGAAGUCCAACACUGUGUUACUGCAAAGCAGUUUGUUAGGGACUUCUGGCUGAAAUUGUGUGAAUGUGUACUCACUGUUACACUGUAUCUGAUGGCACUAUUUGGUUUAUUUUGAUUUGUUCACUGUGAAUUUUACCAUUUGUCUCUUGGUUAAAGUUUAUGUACUCCCAGGUCAUCUUAUCAUGGUUCUAUUGGUUCAGUGUUUAUGUAUUCCCUGUGUGUCUCAUCAUGGUUCUACUGGUUAAUGUUCAUGUAUUCACUUUAUAUCUCAUCAUGGUUCUACUGGUUAAUGUUCAUGUACUGACUGUAUGUUUCUCAUAAGAACUGAAAGAGACUUGCUUUCAAAGUUCAGUGGAUUGAAAUUUGCUAUCAUAAUUUUAAUGGCUCUACUUUGUUAAUGUUAAUCUGCUCACUGUUUUUCUCACAAAAAGUAUAAAAGAUGAAGCGACUCAAAAUGCCAUGUGAUGAAAUUUUUGGUACAAAUGCGUGAUCUAUCACUCGCUCUAUUUUGCGGCAUAUUCUCUGAAUUUUGAUGUUGCAAUGAAAGAGUCACGACUGAUUGUGUGACACAAACACUUAGAUGUCACGGAUGGACGACUACAUUUAUCAACAAUAUAGCGAGUAAUCUAAUUGUUUUAGUAGAAUCAUACUGGUAUACAUAAAGGAAAGUGUCGCUAUAGUUUUCCUUGAUUUGUUGUUUCAUCAACACAACACAAAAAGAAAAUUCCCAUCUAUAGACAAAA